UUAAGUUAUUAAGGGCGCACGGUGGAUGCCUUGGCACUAGAAGCCGAUGAAGGACGUUACUAACGACGAUAUGCUUUGGGGAGCUGUAAGUAAGCUUUGAUCCAGAGAUUUCCGAAUGGGGAAACCCAGCAUGAGUUAUGUCAUGUUAUCGAUAUGUGAAUACAUAGCAUAUCAGAAGGCACACCCGGAGAACUGAAACAUCUUAGUACCCGGAGGAAGAGAAAGAAAAUUCGAUUCCCUUAGUAGCGGCGAGCGAAAUGGGAAGAGCCCAAACCAACAAGCUUGCUUGUUGGGGUUGUAGGACACUCUAUACGGAGUUACAAAGGACGACAUUAGACGAAUCAUCUGGAAAGAUGAAUCAAAGAAGGUAAUAAUCCUGUAGUCGAAAAUGUUGUCUCUCUUGAGUGGAUCCUGAGUACGACGGAACACGUGAAAUUCCGUCGGAAUCUGGGAGGACCAUCUCCUAAGGCUAAAUACUCUCUAGUGACCGAUAGUGAACCAGUACCGUGAGGGAAAGGUGAAAAGCACCCCGGAAGGGGAGUGAAAUAGAACCUGAAACCGUGUGCUUACAAGUAGUCAGAGCCCGUUAAUGGGUGAUGGCGUGCCUUUUGUAGAAUGAACCGGCGAGUUACGAUUUGAUGCAAGGUUAAGCAGUAAAUGUGGAGCCGUAGCGAAAGCGAGUCUGAAUAGGGCGUUUAGUAUUUGGUCGUAGACCCGAAACCAGGUGAUCUACCCUUGGUCAGGUUGAAGUUCAGGUAACACUGAAUGGAGGACCGAACCGACUUACGUUGAAAAGUGAGCGGAUGAACUGAGGGUAGCGGAGAAAUUCCAAUCGAACCUGGAGAUAGCUGGUUCUCUCCGAAAUAGCUUUAGGGCUAGCCUCAAGUGAUGAUUAUUGGAGGUAGAGCACUGUUUGGACGAGGGGCCCCUCUCGGGUUACCGAAUUCAGACAAACUCCGAAUGCCAAUUAAUUUAACUUGGGAGUCAGAACAUGGGUGAUAAGGUCCGUGUUCGAAAGGGAAACAGCCCAGACCACCAGCUAAGGUCCCAAAAUAUAUGUUAAGUGGAAAAGGAUGUGGCGUUGCCCAGACAACUAGGAUGUUGGCUUAGAAGCAGCCAUCAUUUAAAGAGUGCGUAAUAGCUCACUAGUCGAGUGACACUGCGCCGAAAAUGUACCGGGGCUAAACAUAUUACCGAAGCUGUGGAUUGUCCUUUGGACAAUGGUAGGAGAGCGUUCUAAGGGCGUUGAAGCAUGAUCGUAAGGACAUGUGGAGCGCUUAGAAGUGAGAAUGCCGGUGUGAGUAGCGAAAGACGGGUGAGAAUCCCGUCCACCGAUUGACUAAGGUUUCCAGAGGAAGGCUCGUCCGCUCUGGGUUAGUCGGGUCCUAAGCUGAGGCCGACAGGCGUAGGCGAUGGAUAACAGGUUGAUAUUCCUGUACCACCUAUAAUCGUUUUAAUCGAUGGGGGGACGCAGUAGGAUAGGCGAAGCGUGCGAUUGGAUUGCACGUCUAAGCAGUAAGGCUGAGUAUUAGGCAAAUCCGGUACUCGUUAAGGCUGAGCUGUGAUGGGGAGAAGACAUUGAGUCUUCGAGUCGUUGAUUUCACACUGCCGAGAAAAGCCUCUAGAUAGAAAAUAGGUGCCCGUACCGCAAACCGACACAGGUAGUCAAGAUGAGAAUUCUAAGGUGAGCGAGCGAACUCUCGUUAAGGAACUCGGCAAAAUGACCCCGUAACUUCGGGAGAAGGGGUGCUCUUUAGGGUUAACGCCCAGAAGAGCCGCAGUGAAUAGGCCCAAGCGACUGUUUAUCAAAAACACAGGUCUCUGCUAAACCGUAAGGUGAUGUAUAGGGGCUGACGCCUGCCCGGUGCUGGAAGGUUAAGAGGAGUGGUUAGCUUCUGCGAAGCUACGAAUCGAAGCCCCAGUAAACGGCGGCCGUAACUAUAACGGUCCUAAGGUAGCGAAAUUCCUUGUCGGGUAAGUUCCGACCCGCACGAAAGGCGUAACGAUUUGGGCACUGUCUCAACGAGAGACUCGGUGAAAUCAUAGUACCUGUGAAGAUGCAGGUUACCCGCGACAGGACGGAAAGACCCCGUGGAGCUUUACUGUAGCCUGAUAUUGAAAUUCGGCACAGCUUGUACAGGAUAGGUAGGAGCCUUUGAAACGUGAGCGCUAGCUUACGUGGAGGCGCUGGUGGGAUACUACCCUAGCUGUGUUGGCUUUCUAACCCGCACCACUUAUCGUGGUGGGAGACAGUGUCAGGCGGGCAGUUUGACUGGGGCGGUCGCCUCCUAAAAGGUAACGGAGGCGCUCAAAGGUUCCCUCAGAAUGGUUGGAAAUCAUUCAUAGAGUGUAAAGGCAUAAGGGAGCUUGACUGCGAGACCUACAAGUCGAGCAGGGUCGAAAGACGGACUUAGUGAUCCGGUGGUUCCGCAUGGAAGGGCCAUCGCUCAACGGAUAAAAGCUACCCCGGGGAUAACAGGCUUAUCUCCCCCAAGAGUUCACAUCGACGGGGAGGUUUGGCACCUCGAUGUCGGCUCAUCGCAUCCUGGGGCUGUAGUCGGUCCCAAGGGUUGGGCUGUUCGCCCAUUAAAGCGGUACGCGAGCUGGGUUCAGAACGUCGUGAGACAGUUCGGUCCCUAUCCGUCGUGGGCGUAGGAAAUUUGAGAGGAGCUGUCCUUAGUACGAGAGGACCGGGAUGGACAUACCUCUGGUGUACCAGUUGUCGUGCCAACGGCAUAGCUGGGUAGCUAUGUGUGGACGGGAUAAGUGCUGAAAGCAUCUAAGCAUGAAGCCCCCCUCAAGAUGAGAUUUCCCAACUUCGGUUAUAAGAUCCCUCAAAGAUGAUGAGGUUAAUAGGUUCGAGGUGGAAGCAUGGUGACAUGUGGAGCUGACGAAUACUAAUCGAUCGAAGACUUAAUCAA
rnacentral:rRNA from 2 species